UACUUGGUUGAUCCUGCCAAGGAAGCACACUUAGGUCAUAGAUUAAGCCAUGCAAGUGUUAGUUCAGGUAACGAAACUGCGAAUAGCUCAUUAAUACGCUCAGAAUCUAUUUGGCGGCGACCAACAGGUCUUAAAUGGAUAGCAGCAGCAACUCUGGUGCUAAUACAUGCGAUUGUUUCUCCAGAUGUGAAUUAUGGAGGAAAAGUUGACCUCAUCAGAGGCACGCCAUUCGACUGAGUGACCUAUCAGCUUGUACUUAGGGUCUUUACCUAGGUAGGCUAUCACGGGUAACGGGCGGUUACCGUCGGACUGCCGGAGAAGGCGCCUGAGAGAUAGCGACUAUAUCCACGGGUAGCAGCAGGCGCGAAACUUUCCCACUCGAGACUUUCGGAGGAGUAAUGACCAGUUCCAUUGGUGCCUUUUGG
rnacentral:ncRNA from 1 species